GCUGGGCACGGUGGCACAUGCCUAUAAUCCCAGCAUCUUAGGAGGCUGAGACAGGGGGAUUGUGAGUUCAAAGCCAGCCUCAGCAACUCAGUGAGACCCUGUUUCAA
rnacentral:sRNA from 1 species